rnacentral:siRNA from 1 species
UCUCAGAUCUCCGAGAAUUUCC